rnacentral:rRNA from 1 species
GACGAACGCUGGCGGCGUGCCUAAUACAUGCAAGUAGAACGCACAGUUUAUACCGUAGCUUGCUACACCAUAGACUGUGAGUUGCGAACGGGUGAGUAACGCGUAGGUAACCUGCCUGGUAGCGGGGGAUAACUAUUGGAAACGAUAGCUAAUACCGCAUAAUAUUGAUUAUUGCAUGAUAAUUAAUUGAAAGGUGCAAUUGCACCACUACCAGAUGGACCUGCGUUGUAUUAGCUAGUAGGUGAGGUAACGGCUCACCUAGGCGACGAUACAUAGCCGACCUGAGAGGGUGGUCGGCCACACUGGGACUGAGACACGGCCCAGACUCCUACGGGAGGCAGCAGUAGGGAAUCUUCGGCCAUGGACGAAAGUCUGACCGAGCAACGCCGCGUGAGUGAAGAAGGUUUUCGGAUCGUAAAGCUCUGUUGUAAGGGAAGAACGGGUGUGAGAGUGGAAAGUUCACACUGUGACGGUAUCUUACCAGAAAGGGACGGCUAACUACGUG